UUAAAUCAAAUUUGUAUGGAGAUGAAAAGUUUGCCUAUGUUUGCCGCUAGGGGCACUGUUCCAAGAGCAUACAAAUUUCAGGUA
rnacentral:pre_miRNA from 1 species